rnacentral:lncRNA from 1 species
UUUUCUUGAUCUCAUAAAAUAAUGAAACAAUUCCUCCACAUCCAAGAACUUAAAUAAUGCUUUCACUUUGUAAAGAAAAUUUCAAUAACAAAGCAUAGGAUUUUCUAUGUACAUGAGCACCCAAACAAAACAGAAAAUACUUAACCAAAAGAGAUGAGAGUAAAUUUAAGAAAGAUGCACAUCAAAUAAUUAAUAAAGUCUCAAACAUCAUAGUCAUCCACAAACUUGCUUUUGAUCCACUUGAAGCUAUUUCUCAAUGAAGAUUUGAGUUUACCUUCCAUAGUAUACAUAUUAUAUUGAGCUACUCUCCUCCUCCUCUUCACUUCUGGAUUCCCUGAACUUGCUAGCUCAUCCAUCUUCCCAGUCGUCGGACCGUUAAAACUAUACGAUUUUGACCGAUCCUCAAACUCGAGCCGGAUCUCUGAGUAGGGGUUAGAGUAACCUGAAAACGACUUGCUCUUCUCCAUGAUCAAAAGAGCACCAAGAGAAGAACCAUGGUCUGAAUUCUAUUAUAUAGAGCAAGAAAAGGAUUAAACUAAAAUUUAAAUUUAUGAAUUACAUGCAAAAUGUUAAUUUCUCACGUUAGUGGGGUGUGCAUGGGCAGUGAC